rnacentral:rRNA from 1 species
AAUAUUGGACAAGGGGCGAAAGCCUGAUCCAGCCAUGCCGCGUGAGGGAUGAAGGNCCNNGGGUUNUNAAGCUCUUUCAGCGGNNNNNAUAAUGACGAUACCCGCAGAAGAAGCCCCGGCUAACUUCGUGCCAGCAGCCGCGGUAAUACGAAGGGGGCUAGCGUUGUUCGGAAUUACUGGGCGUAAAGGGCGCGUAGGCGGAUUUGCAAGUUAGGGGUGAAAUCCCGGGGCUCAACCCCGGAACUGCCUUUAAAACUGCUAAUCUAGAGUUCGGGAGAGGUGAGUGGAAUUCCGAGUGUAGAGGUGAAAUUCGUAGAUAUUCGGAGGAACACCAGUGGCGAAGGCGGCUCACUGGCCCGAAACUGACGCUGAGGCGCGAAAGCGUGGGGAGCAAACAGG